rnacentral:ncRNA from 1 species
AGCGUGUGACUGGCGGAAAAGGUGGGAAACCACAGGGGAGCACGCAGAAUUUCGAUUGCCGGCCGCCUGGGCACC